AUCGAAGGAAGGAGACGGCGGGACGUAACCCCCCCCCUCCCGUCUCUCUCGCGCACAGGGGUCUCCUGUGUGCGCACGCGCAAGCCUCUUGGCACGCUGAAGCCGCUAAGGCGCGCCGAUGCCCUCACUCGUGGCUGAGGGUGAACGAGGGAUGGGGCCCGGAAGCGGUUCGAAGAAGACUUGGGUGAGCGCCGAAAGAAAAAGCCUGGCGGAAGUGAGUGCCCGGAUGGAAGGCAGGCAGAAGGGGAGAGAGAAGGGUUUGUGAAAGGGAGAUGAGUCACAAGAAAGGAGCGGAUUAAGAAGUAGGGGGAGGGAAAGGGGGAGGGGGCAGCGUCUGUCAAGGCUCAGACCUCUCUUCAGACCUUCCCUGGCACAGGGAUCCUGGUGCCUCACAGCACAGGCGGGAAUUCAACAGGGUCCCUCUGCCAGGACACCCCACUCCCGACCUGGAUAUUGCAGUAUUCCAGCUACAAAAAGAUAUUUCACAAGUUGAAAGUGCUGAAUUGGAACUUAUCGAGGAGUUUGAGCCGAUCUGUUUAGGCAUGAUAGAGACAAUUCUUUCCUGCCAUGCGACUGGUGCUCAUUAACCUAGCAGCCCUAGAAUGAUUGCCUUUAUCACCAGUUACUGCUGUGGUGAAUUAUCACUGCGGUUCAUUUGCUUAAAGUUUCUUUGAUUUGCCACAUUUUUUUUACUUUCGUUAGCCCUCCACGUGAGACGAGAUGAAACUUCAUGCAUGUGAUGGAAAACUUGUGCCAAAAUAAAUCGGUCAAUCUUUGUUCCUUGUACUGUAACAGAAACACAGCCAGCCUAACCUACUGUAUCCCCCCCCCCCCCACACACACAAUACCUGAACUGCAUAUAUUACUUUCAUAAAAAAGAAGGGCGAAAGGGGUGCUAAAGAAUAACACAUGAAAUUAUUGCGUUGGAAUUUAAAUCUGGGCCCCCGUGUACAGUACCAAUACAGCAUUCUGUUCCCUACACCGUGUUGAACCAUCAGAAUGUAAAGACAUCUUGGUCAUGUACAUUAUCUUCAAACAAUCCUAAUCCAUAUUGAUAUCCAACCAUAUGAUAUGAACACACAUGUGAGAGACUACUAUCUUGAUUAAGCUAAGGUCUCGUCAGUGGCAAGAUAGAUGACUCCUUGAGAACUACAUGGGUUGAUGGAAAAAAGGUGGGAGAUAUAAAUGAAAUUUUAAAAAUAGAAUACAGUAGCAAAGGAGAUAUCUGUAAUAUAAAAUAAACACAACUAAUUACAUAGAUACUCAGUGAUUCCUGUUGGAAGUUUCACACACUGCUUUCAACGUUUCCCCUAAUUCUAGAUAAGUUGUGCCUGGUAGUGGUUACUGACUCAUGAGGAAAAAAUGCAUUUUUUCUGCAUUGUUUUUGUACACCUUACAAGGCUUAGCUAGGAACUGAAAAUAGAUUCCACACCAAUGCCUUGGUGAGCUUUGUGCCAGUCUCCAAUUAAGCUGUGGAGCUUCUGAUAAAAGAGAGGUGUGUGAUACUAAUAUAUUUAUUAAUUAAUUAUAAUAAGCAGGCAAACCUCCAGUACCUGCUAGCAAAAAGGGUGGCAAAAUAUGGCAUAUGAUUGUAAUUGGGGAGGGGGGGAGGGAAAAUACUAGACAGACCUUUUCCACAGACGUUCUAAACAGUUUCAGAUUAUAACUUUUAAUGAUGAUCCCAUGUUAGUGACCCCAGCCUCAGCAACUCCAAUCUCUCCACUACAAAAGUUAUCCUUCACUUUUACAAUAUCUUUUUAAUACACAAUUUUGUUUCUUGGCCCUAUAAAAAAUAAUAAAUCAUGUAUACCACAUACGUUAGACCAAAGUUCUUAUGCAGCAGAUCUGUACUUCUUAUGGAAGCCAUAGAAUUAAUUGCUGAUCUUACAGAGCUGAGUGUUGAAAUUGUCUCAAAGCAACAUCUGGAUGUCUUCAACUUCCCUGCUGGUGCUAGAUAAGUCUUUUAUUCUAUCCCCUGGCUUAGAGAAUAGUUAAACUAGAUGCUUUUUUACUGUCCUUCAUAGCUAUUAGACUACAUUUGAACUAUUACCAGAGGUUAGCUUCUAGAACAGCAGCUGCAUAUGCCUGGAAUGUGAGUCUUGUGUAUGACCAACGCUUGUUUGGUAUUGACUAUUAGAAUAACAGGAUGAAAUUAUGUGGGUAGUUUGAAAGGAGAGUAUGAUGUCUUCUGUAUUCUGAAAUACUUUAGUAUGAUCACAGGAAGUAUGGUCUUCCUAAAGGACUAUCUGGCAUGGAAAGGAAACAUGGAUGAAUCUUCAUUCAAACAUUAAGCAUUUUAAUAUUGUGAUUUUAUGAGACCUGUGGGUAUGGAGCAGUAUACAAUUUUAAUAAUAAAUAGUGAUAAAUAAAAUAAAUAAACAGCCCUAUAAACUGCACAUAACUCAACCACUUUGUUGAUCAAAAUCAGCACCAAGCAUCUUGAAGCAGCUGUCAGAACUGCAGUACCAUGGCACGGCCCAUCCUUGACAUCUGCCUUGAGCCUAGCUUCACUUUAUUCCCCCCUCCCCCGGCUACUCCAAGCAGCAGUGGACAAAUGGAUUUAGCUGCCAUUUUAAUUUCCUCCAACAUUUUGGAUGAACUUCCCAUUGGAUACAUAGCAGGAAAUGAAAAUGAAAGGUAGACGUACAUUUUGCUGUUGUUAUUAUCACACCAGAUAAGCCUCCUAGGACCAACUGAUGGUUGCAGUUAGGUAUGUACCAGCUGAUAAGAUUCAAAUAAACUAUUCGUGAUGUGCAAAAAUCACUUCUGUAGCUUUGGGAAGCCACAUGAUCUGUUUUGGAGCUACUCCACCUGUGCCCUCAUCUGGUCAGGUGAAGUGAUGGGACAUCCUGACCGAAGUGACAUAUGCUGCUUUGUGUAUAAAGAGUGUAUGGAUGUUUGCUUGGGUGCAGACAAGCCAUCUCCUGGCUGUUGUGUCCAUCCCCAUGUCUGUAAAGGCUGGGAGACCUGGCAGGCUGAUUUGCUGUAAGUCUACACCUUUCCUUUAAUAAAGCGCUGGAACUCAUCAAUCUGGUGUUUUGGACAUCCUCCUUUGGUAUCCUUGGACCAACCACUCCCAUGAUUCCUCCUUUGGGUCAGCAGUUCAGAGCAGAAACUCUCUGGGGUUUCAGGCCAGAAGGCUCUCCCGGCCCUACUGGAGAUACUGAGCUUGAACCUGGGGCAAUCUGCAUGCAAAGCAGAUGUUCUGUCAAGGGCCUGCUGCCCAUGUAGUGUUUCUAAGGAUGGGGAAACUAUGGCCCUCAUGUUAUGGUAUACUACAGCUCCCAUCAUAUCUGGCCAUUGGUGAUGCUGGCUGGGACUAAAUGGAGAUGUAGACCAACAGCAGCUGGAGGACGACAUAUUUCCCCCAUCUGAUGUAUUCUAUCAGCCAAGCACUUUUUAUCUAACUCAUUUUCUAUUUUGGAGUUUGUCAGAGGGAGGGAAGGUGCUCGGGCAACCAGAUGGAAAGUGGUGGUGAGGAAGAAGAUUCAACUCCCCUCACCCAUAUGCCCCUUUCAAUGAAAGAAAGUACAGAGAGAGCAUGUUUGUGCGGCAAACACAAAUGAAAAAAAUGUGGUUGUCGUUGCUAUGUCCAGAUUGACCUUCAACUACUUUAAUCAGAGAGUUUGUGCAGUCAUUUAUCAGAUACACAAAGAUUUCUCCUAUGCCUCACAAUAGUUAUUACCACUGCUGUUCGUGGGUAUGAUAGCUGUAAACACCAUUUGCUAACUUUGACAGUAGAUAAUAGCGCUGGCAGAAUACCAGUCUUGUUACAACAAUCAUAAAACUGUAGUACUUAAUGCUCAUUUUUAUUAACUAUGCACUGCAUAAAGUGAAGUUUUUAGUGUUGAGCAGUCUAUUGCAGAGAUGGCAACUAAUUCUGUUGAUUAACAGAGUUCCUUUCAGCUUUUGCCAGGGGCAACAAACAAGUCUGCAUGAGUUUUUCACAUCCAUGGCUUUUCACAACUGACAAUUGGACUUAAGUGUCUCAGAUUUGAACUUAUAAUUGAAAGCUGUACCUUGUUGAAGACAGGUUCUUAUAUAUCAUGUUGCUUGCAUCUGGAUCCCUGCCACCUUGAGGAGUAGUUGCAUUUAGACAACUCACAGAUCCCCCAUUCAGCAGGGAAUAAGUCCUCAAAAACCCCUUCUGUACUGUUCCUGUCACCAUAUUUGUGCCCUUUAAGGAUUGCCGACAGCUCUCCCAGGAAGUGGAGCCACCCAAAGGGUAGGUCUUGCCUGUCCUCUUAAGCCUUCCAAUGACUUUAAUCCUUGGCUGCAACAACUUUCUGUAGCUCAGCCAGCAGGGACUACAGCGUGUUGUCCAAGGCCAGAAGAUGUUCUGAUCAUUCCUGCCGCUUCUCAUGUAAGCUCUUAAACCCUAACAGAGCAGGAUAAUCACCAACUUUUCUUAUGGAGCAUUUUGUCUGCUUUUAUAUAUUUUAUUUAAAUGCUUCUGUAAACCAUUUACUAUUUCUAAAAUCUCUAAGCAGUGUACAGUCUAAAAAACAAACAGCAUGCCAUUAAAGCUAAACACAACCUAAAAAACCAAUAAAACAUGUAAAAGCAAAUAAAACAGAAAUUCAGAGGACUGGAAAACAUGAAAAAGGUGCCAGCGAAAACCUGGGUGUGUUUGGAGGAUAAGUUUUCACAGUAUAGGGGCAACAGCAGAGCAGGUCUAUUUUCUUGUUAUUGCCCUAUGAUAGUGUUGCACACCAACUCAAUCUCCAGGUGCUUCCUUGAGUUCACAUUGCCUUUUGGAAUGAGGCACAGCGGAGACUCUUUAUUUGCAAAUAUAUACAACCUGAUCCUAUGAUGGAGGAGUUCACAUCCUUAACACCCCAAGGGCAUGGUGUUAAUCAGGCAUGGCUCUGUCUCUGCCUUUCCAGUCUGCUGCUUUUGCAUCCAGCUUCUAGUUCACAUCACUCAAUUCUCAACUCUGGCUUUUUGUCUUUCUAGCUAACAGACCUUUGAGGGAGGUCGGUCCACCCAUUUGCCCUCUGCCAAAUUUUUCCCUUAACAGCCCUUAUGAAGAGGACCAUUAUCAGCCUGGCCUGGCUAUUCCAGCAAUUGAAUCUGUGCUGGAUCCAGGAAUUUAGACCUCAGGUGCCAAAAUGUAUUGGGCUGGUCCUGACUCAGGUGUAAAAGGUGGCUUAUGGAGACAGUUGUGGGAAGGACAGCAGCAAAUGGUAGUUGGUUUAAGGCUAACUGGUGGAAAGGCCUUCCUCUCUCAUCUCUCACAGAGUGAGAGCACUCAUAUUGGUUCUUCAUGUGACAACUUAUAUAGGAAAUUCAUCCUGUGUGACAUGGAUCUGUUUCUAGUGCAUUUCGGAUAUCGUGGCUUAAUGCGCUCAGUUGCCAGCAGAUAAAAUGGCUAAAAUAAGCUGAUAGUGUUAGAUUUUCCAUCUCUAUAGCUCUUGCCAUUCAAAAUUACUACCUGCUCUUUCAUCUCAUUCCACGGAUUUCAGAAGACUCAGGGAGUUCUUGACAUAAACUUUUCCUCAUUUCAGACUAUUGGCAGCUCAUAAAGUAGUCAUCUUUAGCAUCAUAAUCACUAUGUUCUGCAUUCAUGGUUGGAGGAAGUAUGCUAGUUGCUAGGAAUAACAAGUGGAGACAGUACUGUUUCACACUGGUCCUGCUUCCAGGUCACCUAUAGCCUGUCUGGUAACUGCGAGAGCAGGAUGUUGGACAAGAUGGGCCUUUGUUCUGAUCCAGCCUGGCUCUUCUUAUGUUCACUUGAAGCUUCAUACUGGACAGUAUGGAACUGGACCCCAGUUACAUGGACUCACAGUUUUUGGGAUGCCUAUUUGCACACGAAGGCAGGGUGAGGCAGAGAACAAUUCAGCUGGGAACAAAAGUGGGCAUAGAUACUGCAUAUUCUAAUGUGUAUGUAUUUAGAAAUAAUUUAGAAAUAGUUACUAUAAUUUUAAUAAAAAUACAACAUUAUUACCGUAGUGAAGACUCUGGCUAGUUGACCUGUGUGCCUGCUCUAUCUGCCGUCCAGGUUGUAGCUGCUGAUGGGCAACUUCAAGACUCCUUCUUAAGGUUCUUUAUAUUAAAAGCAAGCUAGGAUCAAACAGCCCUUCAAAGAGUGGCCUCCGAUAGCCCUUCAAAUAUAGAACUUGUUGGGAAUCUCAGAUGAGAUACCCAUGCAGUGGACAUUGCUCCCAGUACCAGUCACCAUACAGAAGCAGAACUUCAGUAGUUCAUCUAGUUUACUGUUGCAGAAGAUAAGGCUCAGUAAAACAGUUCUGGGUGUAGAUAUAUACAGCUUGUAGGCUUUUGCAGAUACAGAUAUAUACAGAUACAAACAAGUACAAAGUAUUUCUACUGCUCUAAAUAAGUCCAGUAAUUCAAAAUGUAGCACUGGACAAGGUAACACCAACAGACUUACUACGACUCACAAACUAACGGAUUACUGUGCUGACAUUCAUUCAUCACAAAUAUAGUCAAGGCACUGAGCCUUGCACCUGCUAUAAGCUCACCUUUGGGGUGAUUUAUGCUCAUGAAGGAAAUUAACCUCUUCUCAUGUCUAGUUACUCCAACAGACUGUUCUCUGUAGAGCAGGACACAUAGCCACCCUCCCAGUUUUCCAAGGCAUACUAAGACUGAUUGGUCAUAAGACUGAGCUUGAAAUGAUUGUUGCUUCAAUCCUUAGUUCACAUCUGAAUGCCUAAGAGAAAGUUUCAAGGGACCAGCAGAAAUUGCUCUCUGUGGAGAGCCUUUUAGAAGCCUUAUGGGUAAAUGCAUGUAGAUUUCUAAAGAUGCUAAUUUCCUGUUUGAUGAAGCAGAACAUCAAUGCAAGGGCAGUAUAAUUUCUGUUGAUAUGGAAACAAAAAGGCUAACUCCAAGGUUAGAAGCAGUGUUCAUUGCACACAAUGAGGAAAUCACUAAGUGCUAAUUGCUUCCAGUGAUUUAACCACAAUUUACAAGCAUAAUUGCUGUUCCGAUUGUUGUCUCUGGAGGAUAGAACUUUGGGUGUUCCCUGGUGUACGUAAGCUUUAUUGGGCUUGCUAACCAGUAAACAAGGCUACAGUCCUAUACCCACUUCCCUGAGAAUAAGUCCUAUUGAACUCAAUGAGACUUACUUCUGAGUAAUCAAUUAGAAUGCACUCAGGUGGACGUGUGGGAGCCUGUAAAGACAUUAGAGAAAUUGGGACAAAUGCCUUAGAUUCUAUCACUGGCAGAAGGAAGAGAUGCUGUAAAAUUUUGGGUCCUUUGUAGCUGCCCAAGGCUGGGUACCAAGUUUUCCACCCAAUUUGGUUUAUGGAACCUUCCAAAUGCUGCAACAAACUGACUAAUAGUGUGCUUCUGAACACAGUUUCUCAGAAGUAAAUCACAUUGAGAUCAAUUUGUAAGUGUGCUUAGGAAUGUACCACGGGGAGAGCCAGCAUAGUGUGGUGAUUCAAGUGUCAGAGUAGGGCUGGGGAGCCGUGGAUUCAAAUCCCUAUUUACGCAUGAAGCUCACUUGGUAACCUUGGGUUAUCUCAGCCUAAUCUAUUUCACAGGGUUGUUGUGAGAAUAAAACCCAGAAGUGACAGGUAGGGAGAAAGAAGGAGAACCACAUACACAGAGAUUCGUGGUGAAAUGGCAGGAUAUAAAAUAUGGGUUCUCUUACUAUUCACUUGUUGUAUUUCCUUGGCGGUGAGAGAGGUUGGGUGUGGCUUAGGGUGUGGCUGGUUGCCUUUGGUUGGCUGUAGUGAGAACUGUUUUUGUGUGUGAGGGGGGAUGAGUGUGUAUUUUUUAAUCAGGUUAGCUAGAUUGAUUUGUAUGCUAUUGGGGGAUUCUUGUUGUUGUCUUGUUGGGCUGUGUAUGUGAUAAAAGGAACCAAACUGGGGUGAAGGCGUCUUCUUCUAUUUGUCCCCGUGUCAGUUUAUUGGUUAGUUUUUCUAAUAAGGCUGUUUCCCAUACUAUUUGAUACCACAACCCCUCACACACACUAAGUAGAAUAAGAGAAGCAUAACCACACCCCAUACCCCUCCCCCUCUUGCCCCUUUUUCAAUUAAUAAUAAUAAUAAUAAUAAUAAUAAUAAUAAAAUUUAUUAUUUAUACCCCACCCAUCUGGCAGCUUCCAGCAAAAUAUUAAAAUACAAUACUGUAAUUUUCUUCUUCUUCCUAAUUGUUUAAAUCAAUUCAUAAACCAAGAACUCAUACAUUGACCACUAAUAAUGAAACAUAUGUUGUAGAUAUUUUUCCACAUUUAUUAUGCUAUUUUUGUGGUAUACAUAUGACAUGAGAAAACUUGGUAUACUUAUUUAUAUGACAUUAUUUUACUGGGUUUUAUAAGCAAGAAUAAAGGAUAAAUGUAAAAAAUAAAGUGCAGUAAUUGAUAGGGUUGCUCAGUAGGUCCAAAGUAGAGCCUAACCAGGAAAGGUGCUCUUAGUUUCACAAACAGGAGUUUUUUGUGCAACAAUAGCAUACCCUCCAACAUUUCACAAUAGUAAAUUCGGUAUACUUGUCGCAUAAGGAAAACCACUUCGGUGGGAUUUAGUGGUAUACCUCAGUAAACAUAAAUCUAUACUUCCCUUAAAAAGUAUAGGGAAUAUAUUUAUAUCAUAUAGUUUAUUGCCAUAGCAUUUUUUCCAGAUGUUCAGAAUUUAAAGAUACAAGAUUUCAAAAUCUGAUGUGCAAAAUUUGGCCUUCGUCAUGUUUCCAUAUAAGACAGAUGGUGUAGCAGGAGGCAAAAUAAGAGCAAUUGGGAGGUAAUUACAUUUAAUGCAUACUAGUAAUCAAGUAAAGAAAAAAGUGGUGGUGUACCUUUUGAAAUAGAGUUGGCAAGUAAAUGAUAUAAUAAAUGUGGGAGACCACGCUUUCUGAAGGUGCUUUCACAUCUAUGCUCAACACUCACCAUCUGUGCCAGCUUGGGAAAUAUGGAUGCGUUGAUUUAGAUCCAAGUCCCCCAUCUUUAAUCUGAUUUGUUCUGGACUUACUUCUGACUAGACAUGUAAGCUACUCUUUGGGUCUUUUCUACAGGGUUUAAAAAUGGUCUGCUUCCACUUAGUGUGCCAGUGUGGUGUAGUGGUUAAGAGCGGUAGUCUCGUAAUCUGGGGAAGCGGGUUCACGUCUCCGCUCCUCCACAUGCAGCUGCUGGGUGACCUUGGGCUAGUCACACUUCUCUUGAAGCCUCUCAGCCCCACUCACUUCACAGAGUGUUUGUGUGGGGGAGGAAGAGAAAGGAGAAUGUUAGUCGCUUUGAGACUCCUUAAAGGGAGUGAAAAGGCGGGAUAUCAAAUCCAAACUCUUCUUCUUCUUAGGAAUUUGAAAUAUUUAUGUGAACAUGUAGUAUUUUCCCAUUCUUUGACUUCAGAGAGAUUGCCGGAUGUGGACUUAAGUACAUCUUCAUUUUCCAUGUUUGCUUGCUUCUACUCUGCUCUGACAUCGUAGUGGCCAAAUUGUCUGUGCUACAGACUCUGUGAUAGAAAUCAAGCUAGAUAUCUUCUCUGUGGAUCUGGAUUUUGCUGUUCUUCUAUGACAUUUUCUAAGCUGCAAUAAUGGGAGCAGGAGUACAGCCUAAAAGUUACCACUUCUGAACACAUAUGCGCAACCAAAAUGUUUUGAGAACUUUUGGUGCUGCCUUCUGUGCUGCCUGUUCUCAAUCACCUUUUAAAAACAAAAGGGGAGAGAUCACAUAUGGUCUGUGUAAGCACAUGGGGGUGUAUAUCUGCAGCAACAAGGCUCACACUGCGAUGCUAAGGACACUAGUGCAUUGGCACCACAGGACUGGGAAGAGCCGUCUUCCAAAGAGAAGGUGGUCUAGAAGAAAAGUUCACCUGAAGGUCAGCUCUCCUGAGCAAACUUGUUUCAGGCUCUAAAAAAUAAUAAUUCUUAUUUUGCAUUUAUUUUAGGCAAAAAAAAUAUGUUGCACUCUGAUUUACAGCCAAGCGUGGAGAAAUCUGCUAUGCAGAUUGACAAUCCUAUGAAUAGCAAGAAAUGCUACCACUUUCAGUGGGGUAGUUAGGCCAUUUCAGAUUUCAUUCCUGCUCCCCCCCCCACACACACAUUAGAUGGUGAAAGUUUUUUGUGAGUCGUUGAGCAAUAAAGUAAAUUUGGCCCUGCCUCCUUCAGCAUUACAACUCCCCCUGUUUUUUGGGGGGGAGGCUGCUCAUUUACUCUUCUGAGUGAGGGUCUGCCCUUUUGCUAAGAAGCCACUUAAUGCAUCAAAAAAGAAAAGGACAAAUGAGUACAUCAGUUUGCAUAAAAUGUCCCUUACCUGCUAGUUUUUAUCAGCCAUGAAGGGCAAGGGGCCAGAGCACAAUGGUCUCCCUGAACCAACUGAAACUUAUCCCACACAACAGAAGAAGCCUGUGCUCUGGGCAGCCCUUAAGAUUCAUCUGCUGUAAUAGUAGGGCUGCCAGACGUCCAGCAGAAUUGACUUCCAGGAGAAUUUCUGAAAUGUCCUGGAACUUAGGUAGGUCAAUCGAAAAAUCACACUUUUGGAGAGCAUUUUUGUAAAAAAAAAAAUGCUCAACAACUUUUGGGGUGUCCUGGUUUUUACUUUUUGAAAUAUGUCAAUGGAAUAGCGAGGGACGCGGGUAGCGCUGUGGUCUAAACCACUGAGCCUAGGGCUUGCCGAACCGAAGGUCGGCGGUUCAAAUCCCCAUGAAGGAGUGAGCUCCCGGUGUUCGGUCCCAGCUCCUGCCCACCUAGCAGUUUGAAAGCACGUCAAAGUGCAAGUAGAUAAAUAGGUACCGCUCCGGCGGGAAGGUAAACAGCGUUUCCGUGCGCUGCUCUGGUUCGCCAGAAGUAGCUUAGUCUUGCUGGCCACAUGACCCGGAAGCUGUCUGUGGACAAAUGCUGGCCCCCUCGGCCUAUAGAGUAAGAUGAGUGCUGCAACCCCAGAGGAGUCCACAACUGGACCUAAUGGUCAGGGGUACCUUUACCUUUAUAUAAUAGCAAAGUCAAGAUCUCAAUGGAUGCAAGCAAUUUCAUCCUCAAAAUGCUUUGCAAACAUGUCACAGCAAGCUGCCAUCAGUUCUGCCACUUCCUUCAGAUUGGACUGUAACAGGUCCUGCACUACCCGGAAAAGCUCUGCUGGAUGAGGGUACAAUGAAGGAACAAUAGAGGUAGCAAAGCAUGCCUUCCUUCCUGCCUUCACUGUCUCAAUGAUGAGCCCUCACCAGUGUUUGAUUGCAUUAACUGAAUUUUUCCUUCACUUGUGUUAGACGUUUGGGACAGUCAUGCAUCUUCUUUGGUGGAGAAGAUACCCAAGAUUGCAGCGUACUUUAUGAAUUGCUUCUCAUGAGUCAUCCCAAAGCAAUUUACAAUAACGAGAGAGAGAGAGAGAGAGAGAGAGAGAGAGAGAGAGAGAGAGAGACUGUAUAAAAAGUUAAAGCAAUUGCACUUAUAAACACUGUAUAUUUGUAAAUAUGAAGACAGUUUAAACAACUGCAGGACAUACCAUGGGUGUAGCCAGGGGGUGGGAGGGGGGCACCUGCCCUUAACCAAGUAAACAAAUAAAAAUACUUAAUUAACUGACCAAUUAUGCCAAGGAUAAAUCAAUUCUGCCCCCCUCCCUACAUAAUGCCUACUCCCCAAUAAAUCCUGGCUGUGCCCAUGUCACAUAUGCAAAAAUCAGUUCAAACUGACAACAGAAACAAAUCGGGAUAAUCUGUAUGCACAGAAGUUUUUUUUAGGUCCUAUAUAGGUGCAGAAGCAAAUUUACAAGUGAUGCUUUCUAGACUGUCUACGGAACACCUGCUCAGCUCGUUCCCUCUGGCUAGACCUGAAUUGUUUCUCGCUUAUUUACUCUCAUAGUAUCUCCUGAUGAAUAAAGGUUUUUCAGCCCCACCCUGUUGUUUGGCUCCAGAAUCUCCCUCCGCCCACAACAUUUCUCUUCGCAUAGGUGAGGGGAAAUAGUAUUUGUUCAGAGGCUCUCUGCUGUUAUUAUUGCAUACAUGCACAGGUUUGAUUCACUGCAUUCAUUCUUAAAAUGUAAUUUAUUAAUCCUGUCUCAUCAUAGGGAUGAGCAGCCCUGUUCAUCCUAUGGAAGCGUGAAAUAAAAAACAGCAUUGCCGCAAGCAAGUCAAGACCAUGAAGUGACUUUGUGCCUGCGAGUUAAGCCAGUUCAGCAACAGCAGUGCUGGCAUAGUGCCUGCUCAGGAGGGUAAGAGCAGGGCAGGUAUUUAAGGCUCACCUUGCCUCUGAACUUGGCAGACGAUUCUGUCUUGUCUCUUCCUAUUGUUCAAAGCAGCACAACCAGUUCCAGUGGAAAACCCUCUGCCCUGGAGCUGACAUGGGGCUAAACCUAAUACGGAUCACCCAGUGCUUCUAGAUGCUCGCUGCUGAAGAUAGACUAAAGCAAGAUGGGCCAGCUGUUAACUUGAAUAUUGCAAUAGUUUGGGAUGGGUUUUUGCAUGGUUUGCUUUUUAUAUUUAACUGCUGCACUGAUUUUAAGUGUGAAGUAAAUAAUGUUGUUUUAUUGUCCUUGUGUGAUAGUCAACUUUGUUUUGUUCAGAAUACACCCAUUGAAAUUAAUGAGCACAGCUACAUUAAGUGCAUUAAUUUCAAUGGGUUUACUCUGAACAAAUCUCAGUUGGCUACCACCCCUUGUUGAUGAUUUAUUAACUGGGAUGAUAAGUUAUCCUGAAAAGCAGCUUAAAAGUCAAAUACCGGUAAAUUUAAAAAAUGAAAUAAACUAGGAAAAGUCACCUGAGCCCCAGACCUUACUGUGGAAUCAACUUUAAAUCUCAGAACUCCAUCCUGAAAAAUAUAUGUAGUAAUAACAGAGAAGCAUGUACUGAGUGCUUCUUUAUUUAUGCACAGCCAUGACGCUUGUACCCCUAUUGACUCAGAGUAAGUGAUCCUCCAAACUGCAGAGGAUCUACUACGAUUUGGUGAUCUAAGAAUGUGUUGUAGGCUUGUAGGCUUACUCCUACUCUGCUUUCUUCCUUCUCGGGCACUAAUAAUUAUUUUUUUUGGAACGGGCAACCUGGAAAAUUUACUUCCUUUCCAUUGCUUAAUAAUGGUUUUAAGAUCAACAAAUGAAAUUCAGUUAGCCUUUCUACUGCCUAAUGAUUAUUGACCUGUGGGAACUUAGAGAGAGAUUUUUUUAAGCACAGGGGCACCAGUGUUAUGAAAUGCACUUCCUGCUGAAAAAUUGUUGUUGUUGUUUAGUCGUUUAGUCGUGUCCGACUCUUCGUGACCCCAUGGACCAGAGCACGCCAGGCACUCCUGUCUUCCACUGCCUCCCCAAUCUGUAUUGGUAUUCCAUUAACUUUGGAAAAAGCACCUGUUUCCACAGGCAUCCCCUUGAUCUCUCAACAUGAGGCUCCUUGCUGUGUUGUUUUGAUGGGACACUUUUAUUGUGUAUUUUGAAUACGGCUAUUUUAAUGCUUGUGGUGGAAUUGCUUUUUUGCACUUGUAAAUAGCUUAGAAUUCAAAUUUGGCACUAAAUUGUAUAAUAUUAAGUGAAAUUAAUAAUAAAAUUUAUUUUAUUGGACAUUUGUAUGCUGCCCCAUAUAACAAAAACAUCAAUUUCCAUGUUGCUCUACUAUACUUUGCCAUAAUGUCCAAAACAAACAACUGUGCAUAGUCAUAAUAUCUACACAAUAAUAAUUAUUUUUAAAUAAUAUUUAUUGAUAGUUUCAAAAUUACAGAAAAAAAAUAAAUAAAAAACAAUGCUACAGUACAUAGGAAAGAAGAAAAAAGCAAAACAUAAAAACCAAUGCAACAAUACAGUAAAAAGAUAAAAAAGAAGAAGAAAAAAGACACAAAUCCCAUAUUACAUAUCUUUAACUUCCAUUUGCUUGUUUCAUUGACCUCCUCACACCUCCCUUUUUGUAUUCUAGUUUAAUUAGUUAUUUCAGCAAAUUCUUUCCAUCUUUCUCAAUUUUUAUUAAAUAAUUUAUCUUAACAAUUUAACCUAUUAAUUAACUCAACAAAUCCUUUCCAUCUUUUCCCCAUAUUCUGUUAUUCAAAUUACCUUAAUUUAUUUAACCUUAUCUUACCGUAAAAUACCUUAGAGCUUGAAACUUAAUACUCAAUUAUACAUAACUCCUGAUAUCAUUUCUACUAGAGCCAUAUAGUUUCAUUUCAACAUUUCCCCUAAUAUUCAUUAAUUUUAAGCUAAUUCCCUAGAUAAAAAAUUUUCUUUAUAGAUUUUCUUCCAAUCUUCAUCCAACGUCUCUUCUUCCUGGUCUCGGGUCAUGUCAGUCCUUACUGUCCAUUCCAUCUAGUCUAUCAACCUGGUAGUCUUAUGUCCGAGGCCCUUAAGUCUCUUCCAUGUCCCUUCUGCAGAUCUUCUUCUUCUUGUUUAUACUUGCACUUUUCCUUGUCUUUUGUUGGUCUCUUUCUUAAUUUCUUUCCUUUCUCAUUAAGGAGUAGGUCUCUGGGGGGUUCCAACCCAAAAUUAUCUCCGUUUCCCUUCAUCAAACCAGCCCAUUCCCCACAGUCCCACUCCCCACAGUCAUCAAUGUAAUCCAAAAAAUAUUUAAGAGCAUAUUUCAAAGUCUCUCCAAAGUUAAGAACCUCCUCAGCUCCAAACUCCCCCUGGCCCACUCCAACUUCAAUCUUCAAAAACAGCGGCUUAUGCUCCUGUAGGGCCUCGGGUCUCUCCAUUUGUAUUAUUUGAGGUGCAACCACAACCUCCUCCAUUAUCUUCUGCACUUGCCCAAUCAAUACAGGUUCCUGAUUUGGUCCCUGAAUGAUUUCUGUAUCAAUAUUCCCUGUUUGUCCACAGUUACUGACCACAACAGUCAUCAAAUCCAUUUUCUCAUUCAUCAAAUCCACCUUCUCAUGCAUCUGUUCCAACAAAGCACUUGUCUUGCAUAAAGCAAGCACCAAAACUUCCUCCCAGCUCAUAUUUAGUCAAGGUCAAAGGAACUGGUCCCACGAUCUUAAUCUCACAGCUGUAGAGUCCUCAAGUAGACUGCAGCAACAAUUUAGCAAGCUCCUCUAGAGGAGACAAUUUCUAUUUGUAUCCAUCUUUUUAAGGCAAGUUCAACAAAGGAAAAUUACUUUCAUUUUCCAGAUAUUUUGUUUCUUUAGAAUGCAAAAGGCAACAUUGGAAUCAGUUUAUUACUCUUCUUUAGCUAUCUGUCAAAGUAUUCCAUUCACAGUCAAUAAACCUCUCCAGCAAUUUCUGUCUCUGACACCCCGUUCCCAGGUUAGAGACGGUGGAAACUUAUCUUUCUUCACUCCCUCUCCUGCAGGCUUUAAACAAAGCCCCCCCCUUUUCUCCUGCUUCCAAGGGGGUUUCAGUAGUUAUAAAUGAAGGAAAUUUAGACUUUUUAACGACUUUCCAGGCUUUAGCUUACAAGGUUUUUGCUUCAGUCUAUAUACAAAAAGCGGAAGGCGGACUUCCUGUUUUGAACCUUCCCGCUUCGGUGCGAAAUUAAGAUAUUUCUUGAUCCAAUUUUCCGUUUCUACUCACGGGUACUUGUUUUAGAUCCAAUUGUCCACAGGAAAAAGUCAGCGCUCUCCGGCAAUGGCUAUGCGGCUUCACUCUGUGAAAGUAGCAAUCAGUUAGUAGCACCGCGCCGCUCACCCCACUUCACUCCGGAACCCGGAAAUGGGGUUCCCCGUGAGUAGGGGGGCGCUCCUGGUGCCCUGCCAAACCCUACGUUCCCAGGCUUCCUCUGCCUGGGAUUUCUAGCGGGUCCCCACCUUCGCCGCGGCGGGAAGACCCAGUUUCCACGGAGCCAGUUCCUCUGGUCGGAGGAACUCCACCAUUCGCCGAUGGCGCUAACCCGGAAGUCCCAAUUUCUACACAAUAAUUACAAACUGUGCUCUAAACAUUAUUUGCCUAAUAUGGAGAUCACAGCAAACUGUAAUUAUAGCGGCCCAGAAAUGAAAGGGGGGAAUCAGUGCAUGAAUGUUCAUGAGGGAGGAGUGGCUGUUUGUCAUUGAGAUCUAUAGCCUGUGACUUGUUCCUGAUCCCCCAUAUGAGGAUCAGCCAGGCAAAGUCAUUGUGAUAAGGAGGUAUGGUCAAGGUUUCCCCCCAGGGUGGUUAGAACUCCGUAGCCCCAUUCUGAAAUAAAAAAGGGAAAGGCACGUAAAGCCAAUUAUGUGAGUUUGUUGAUAGCCUCAUCAUCAGAAUGUUUUGUUCUUAAGAUAAUUAAAUAGCUGAUUUGGGAGAAAUUAAUGCCCUGUAAGAACACAAGAAGAGCAUAUUUGGUCAAGCUAAAGGCCCAUCUAAUCCACUGUGGUCAACUGGGACCUGCAGCAGCACUCUCUCCUCCUGUGAUUGCUAGCAACUGGUAUUCAGAGGUACAGUGGUGCCCCGCAAGACGAAUGCCUCGCAAGACGGAAAACUCGCUAGACGAAAGAGUUUUCCGUUUUGGAGGUGCCUCGCAAAACGAAUCUGCUAUGGGCUUGCUUCGCAAGACGAAAAUGUCUUGCGAGUUCCUGGGUUUUUUUUUUCCUUUCCCCCCUCUUUUUCUAAGUCGCUAAGCAGCUUAUCAGCUUAUCGGAUAAGCAGAUAAGCUGCUAAAAGCCGCUAAAAGCCGCUAAAAGCCGCUAAAAGCGCUAAUAGCGCUAAUCCGCUAAUCCCAUCAAUGGGCUUGCUUCGCAAGACGAAAAAACCGCUAGACGAAGAGACUCCCAGAACGGAUUCUUUUCGUCUUGCGAGGCACCACUGUAUGCUGCCUUUGACAGUGGAGGUAGAACACAACGGGGCUGAUCCAUUGGGGAUAAUGAAGCACUGCCCCACCAAACUCAUUCUGCUCUCAAGUCAGCCCCCAGCUGGCUACCUUCUUUCUUCCAACCACUCUGGGUCCUGCUCUGCCUGCCAUUGGCUCUCACCUACUACUGGUCUUCCUGCCUUCUGCCCUACCAAUCCCAAUGAGCACCAACCACCACUGGUGGAACAUAGUCACCAUGUAGUGACCCAGUUUGAGAAGGAAUUCUCUGAAGCUGUCUUUCUCAACCUUGGGUCCCCAGAUGGUGUUGUACUCCAUUCCUAGUUAGCAGGCCCACAGUGGUCAGGAAUGAUGCAAGUUGUAGGCCAACAACACCUGAGGACUCAAGGUUAAGAAAUGCAGCUAUCUCUGCUCUUUGUGGCAGAUUUUUAUUUGCAGCGGAGAGAUUAGAUUGUAAAAAGUGGAUGUUGUCACCCAGCCAACAAAUAUCAAGGUUUGUUUAUAGAUACUGCCUUUUAAAAAAGGUGGUAAGCACCCUUAUUUCUGGUGAAUUGGAGAGCGAACCAGGAAACUUAGCAUAAAUUGGCAAUCUUAAAUGGCAAGAGUUAUUCCCCCAAAUCUGAUCUUUCUAGCUAAGUAAUCUUGCCAUGUCAUUUUGCAUAGCAACAGAGAUAGGUUAUUGUUGAAGCUGAGCUAAUCAACAGCAGGCUUUUCCAUUGCUAAAUAGAGCUAACCAAGCUGCUUAUGAGUCAUCUUGGCUGGCCUGGGGCUCAGCUUGUUUAACCAAUGGGAACUUUGGUGACUUGGUGCAGAAUUAUUUCUGGGAACAAAACCAGUGUUUAUGCCCUAAUAAAUCCAGGGUUUCAUAUGAUGUCAAUUCUAUUCAGAGCCCGGGAGUUAAGAGACAUGACAACUUAGAUCCAUCAAUUUCAAUGGGUCUACUCUAAGUAGAACUUAGUUGAAUCCAAACAUUUUAGUCUUUUCUAAGGGCUGGAUUAGAAUGCACUUUUGAGAUCUGUUUCAAAACUAGCAUAUAUUUUUUGGUGGGGAGAGUAAACUCUUUACAGUGCAACAAGGAUACAAAGUAAAAUCAAAACUAUGAUGCUUGAUUAGUGCUGAAGUUCUUAAACUGCUCAUGAAAUUAAUAUCCACAUGCAGCAGUGGGUCAUACAUAAUCGAAGUGAAUUUAGCCAAUAACAGGGAGUUUGGAACUAGAUAGAUGUGUGGUUAUUAAUGUUUGUACUCUGUAGCAGCUGUGAAGGCAAUUUCCAUUUUAUAGCAGCAGUUGAGAAAUAAACUGCAUUGUAAAAUCAUUAUUUAUAAAUAAAAUCCUUAUCUGCCCAUGAAUAUUAAUUACCCCACUCCACAGAUGUUACUAAAGGAGUUUCCAUAUUAUUGGGCUUGUUAUGGCAACUAAGCAGUUCAGUGAUGCCAAUUAUUUACCAGUGAUCUGCAUUCUCACCAUUGCCUGACCCAGAGACAAAGAGCAAGCAGGUUAGGUUUAAAGCACGUUAGGUGACUUCAACAAAUAGGCUUGCUGCUCUCAUAUAUAAAAUAUGAGAGCAGCAUGAAUAUUGGCUGCAGCCACCAAGAUAGAGGUGCCACCUGGAGAAGGAGGAAGAGGAAGAGAAGUCACUGCCCUGCUGCUGCUGCCACUUUAUACAGCAGCUAUGGUGACUCUACUGUGCAAGACAGAAGAGGGCAGGGGAUUCCUCUUCCUUCUCAGUGCCGCCUCUUCCCAGGUACUUCCUGUGGAUGCUGCCGCACCCCGCUUCAUUUGUGAGCCGGCCCUGAUUAUGGUUAAGAGUAUGAUUAGCUGAAAUUCCCCAUCCCAGUAUUCUAACCCAAUAUUAUCCACUCUGUAUGGAUGUGGUUCUCCAGAGUCUCGAGGCUAGAAGGAGGGCAAAAGGGUCUGAUACAAGCCAGCUUCCUAUGUACGUUCCAAACAUGAGUGCAUGAGGAUAUAAUUCUGCAUUUCCUAAAAUGUAGGUGAAUCGUGACUAAUAAAGCAUUGUUGUAUUUUACAACUAAGUGUGAGCUUAGUGAGGACCUCCAGGAUGAAACAACUUGGAAUAUGAAACAUUAAAAUCCAUCCUAGCUGAUAAUUAAAAGCAACUGCUUCAACUUGAGUUGUUAGAAGGUUUUGCCAAAGAUGUUCCUUACUUCUCAGUCAACAGUUGCUGGAGCUGCAAUUUGCCUAAAUAGAGCUUCAAUCAUGGAGAAAAUUGACUGCAUGCAGAAUUUAAUACUAAUGCAAAUUGUAGACUAACAGCCGCAAUUACUGUCUAUAAAGUCACCAGCAGAUUAAUUAAAAUUGUAUGUAGCAUUCUCUUUUAUAAGCUGCAUUUCUUUCUUUCUUUCUUUUUAUAAAAAUAUAAUUUGUUCUAUAAGGCUAGCUGCUUUCUAGGGACAAAGAUACACUGCACCUCUUGUACUGAAGAGUUCACAUUCUCCAUUGAUGUACUUAAUAGUAACUGGGCUAUUAAAUUUAGAGAGGGGGGAAAUAGUUGAUGGCUUACUUAACCUUGCCUUGUAAAGACCUUUUGCUGAGAUGGUGCAAAGCUGUUUUUCACCUGGGUAUCUAUUAACAACAGUGCAGCCACUUCAGGUGAAACUUGACAAAAAGAACCAAAUAAUAAAAAGGCGCAAAUUGAAGUUAACAGCCUGUUCUGGAGAGGUUCUGCAUUGAAAGCCAGACAGCAGAGGUUUGAAAGAGACAAAGCCAUCACUGGGACUUGCUGAAAAUGCGGGGUUAGAGCAAUAUCUCUUCACUUCUAUACAUUUGUUGCCUUUUUAGUUGAGAGAAUACAAUUCUAUUCUGAAGCUCCCCAAUGUAAUAUGGAAUACUCUGUGGAAUUCAUGGAUGCAUUUCAAAACCCUUUAGAUUUCAAGUUCCUUCUCAUUGCAGCUGUUUUGGCAGUCUAAAAAGAUAGGGUGAUAAAUUAGAAGGGCAAUGGCAAAGUGGUACUGCUUCUGUUAACAAAGCCGUUUUACCAAGUUUUCCACGGGUAAAGGGAGGAUUUUGGGAACUGGGUUGGGUUGGGUUUUCUUUCUUUUAAAUGGAUUGACUUCUUUGCUUAAUUCCAAAGGAUAUAAAGGGUAAACUAGAAGUUAUACAAGAAAUCCGUGAAUAGGAUUGCCACUUAAAAAUAAAUAAACAGCAUUUAGAAUGUGGGGAGAUUUGGAUCAUGGUCAUAGUGCUGGGGCACUUUACUCUUUUCCCCAUGCUGUUUUCCUGUUAUAAUGACAACAACCCAUUCCAAAAUAGCAUUAAAGUGGCAUGAUGGUACUUUAAAUUUAUGCUGCAGAAGGGUUCUUAGCAUAGGAGCGAACUCCUAGGGGCCAAAGUCCUUGCAGCCCCCGGAUAAAAUAUUUGAGGGACCGGACUGACCUCCCGCUAAGCUUGAUGGGCUUUGCCAUUCAGAUGGGGUUUGUGUGCUGUGUCUUGUGAUUGAUUACCGUAUAUGGUGCAGGGUAUUACCUGGGUCCCCCCAAUAUUUUAUUCAAGUUGGCACCCCUGGGCUUUAGUUCACACUCUAACAACACCCCUCCACACAAAGGUCGGGCUAUAUAUACAGUUUAACCGUGCUGUAAAACAGCUGGCAAAGCAUCCCUGUUCCCAAUGAAAUUAAACUUGUUUGUGGUAUGUAGGAGGGGAGGGGUAUUCCUGUUUAUUCAGCUGCAUGUGGAUUAGUUUAAAUUUUAGAGUCCAAACUGCUUCACCAUUUGCGCAAACACAUUAGGCAAAGUGUGUACGUACAGCUGUUUCCAAUAAUUAAAUUAAGAAUCUAAAAAAAUAAUAGUAGUAGUAGUAGUAGUUGUAGUAGGCCUAGCUGAUUCUCAUUGACAUUUCAGGAAGAGAACCAAGCUACACUGUCAGCUUCCCAGUCACAGCACUUUCAGAAUUAAGCUUUCUUUUUUAAUAAAAAAAAAAUCUGUUGAUGUAGCAGCAAUGAAAUAAAAUAAAAUGUUGAUGAGUAAACAUUUUAAUGCAAGUGUUAUGAGCAGCAACAAUCUGGAAACAACUUUUUAUUUUUUUUAUUAGCCAUUGAGCAUUUUAUAACAUCCAAGAGACAUCUAGCUUAAGAUAAUUGCUGAGAAAAGCAACACUGGGGAAUACCUUCAGGGAGGAAAAGGACACUAUGAAUUAGAAAACUGUUUGUGGGAUGAUGAUAAUAAAUUGAGGACAUAUCCUCAAAGCACAUACAUUGAUUGCCACACUAGAGCUUGCAUAAGUCCUGAAAUGUGGAACUCACAGAGUCAUCCUAAUUCCUGAUCCACAACACUGGGGGUUGGGGGGGUGCUUAGCCUGUCUUGGCUCUCACCGCUGGAUGAAAAACUUGAACUCAGGUUUCCGUUUCUGCCAAAUUAUUUAAUGCAUACUUCUGUGAUACAUGGGCAAAGCAAGGGUUAAAGGCACAGCAGGUAAAUUGCAUGGCUUAAGCAUGAGCUGAAAGGUUGAUGCAACAAGUUAGCAUACCCUUUUGAAGAGCAAGGUUGUCAUAAGAAAAAUGAGAGGAGCUUCUGCUCUGCAACCAAAUGGGCACUUCUGUGAGAGGGCUGGGCUUGUGAGGUUUGUUCAUGUUGGUACCGGUCUCUCUGUGUCCUUAGCAAUGGAGAUGGUGACUCACCAUCUGACUUACUGCCAGCUGCCUCCCGCAGAGGAGGCUCCAUACUGGCAUGGGGAGCCAGGUGGCUUUUUGGGAAGUGCCUGACUGGAGGUGUACAACAUCACAGCGAUGGGACACUUAUCUGACAACCUGCUUGAAUCUUCACCAGAAUUCAGCUCCUGACUCUCUUGAUCACUGCCCCCUCCUCCAGCUCAGGCAUUGGCCACAAUUCUGCCACACCCCCCCCCAAAUCCUGCUUGGGCACUCCCCAUGGGUCAUGUAGCUCCAGCUCCCUAUCUCUUCACCUACCUAUUUGGGUUCUGCCCAUCCCCUCCAUGGAGUUUCUAUGGGGUUCAUGACAUAGUCUGAGGUGGAGGUGGCACAACUGAGCCCCACUGAGCUCUGCUGUUGUUGGGAGUGUUCCUCCACCAUGGAUGGUCCUAUUGCAUUGGCCAGUUGUGCAGGCUACCAUUUGCAGUGAUGUAACAGUCCUCAAAUGGAGGAAAAUCCUAAACUGUUCCAGUAACUGGAAACAGCCUGGCCACCAAGCAAUGACUGUUCUGUGCCAGCCUGGAGCUGGUACAGCAAUAAUCAAGGAAGAUAUCAUCUUCCUUUCUUUCCUGGCCAGUGGCAGCUUCACUGCUCCAUUCAGCCAUGCAGCUCCCAGCUGGAACUUAGGUUUGCUCCAUCAGCAAGAUAGUUAGGAAUGUCAGCAGAAGGAAUAAAUCAGUGACCCAAGGGACAGCACAGAGUGAGGGAACAACAAGCAGGAAGUGUCUCAGCAUAACAGAGAAAGAGAGGAUAGCACAGACCCGGGGUAUGCUUACAUUGCUGCUUACUUUCCAUCCACUGCACCCAACUACUAGUUUUUGAAGCCGCAUUCACACAACAUUGGCCACAAUCCAUAUUGACGCUGUGGGUUCUUGACAAAUAGUUCUGUUUGAUGCACUUUUUUUCUUCUCAAACCAACCUCAAUCCAACUAGAAAACCUAAGCCACACUUCAUGGUGAUCAUUUGACAGCCAUUGUGCAUAUCCAGAUGAACAAUGCAUGCACAGACAACAGCUCCAGGGAGUUUCAGGGGGUUGCAGGGACAGGGAAACCGAAAAGGCCAUGCAAGUCAGGUGAAGACACCCUCACCCACCCUCUGAUGUGAACAGCGUCAUGCAAAUGUGGCUUGAAGCACAGUGGAAGGAAAUGACUUUGCUGUAUUUCAAGCUGCUAACAUGAAUAUACCCACAGAUAGAGGAAUUUAAGCGGUCUUGUGUGAUAAUAAUAAUAAGUUCCAACUGUCUCAAGACUGAUAGCAAACUCCUCUACUCCACAUUAUAGACCAGUAUUUUUAUCUUCAUGCUAUGUUUUAAUGGCAGAUUUUCUCCCAAAUCAAAUCAAAUCAAAUUGGAAGAGGCCAUUUCAAUAAAGAUGCAACAUUUCUAGAUAGCAUAAAUGACUGUGACUUAGAACAGAUGGUCAUUAAACUGGCCAGAGCAGGGAGGUGUCCCUGAAUUUAAUCUUAAGUGGUGCCCAGGAACUAGUGCCAGAUGAAAGAAAUGUUGAACUGAUAGGCAACAGUGGGCAUACUGCGAUGAGGCUCAGCGUCUAGUUAAGUGGAUAAUUGCCAAGAGAAGUCCAACACAGUCACAUUUGACUUCAAAGGAGGAACACAUUUACACAGCUGUGAAAAGGGUGAAUGCCAAUUGCUUCACCUCAAAAUGCACCUGGAAAAGGUUCAAAAAAGGGGCAGUGAAAAUGAUCACAGGGCUGGAACAACUCCCCUACGAAAACAUGUUGCAAGAUUUUUAGUUUAGGAAAAAACACACAACUAUGCUUCUCCUUUACAUCUGCAGGUGUGGCAGUGGAUGUGAUGGACUGGGUGUGUCUUGCCUUGGCAACGGACUGGAUGAGAGCCAAGAAACUGAAGCUCAAUCCAGAUAGGACUGAGGCUGUUCCCUAGACCUAAUGCAUGGGAGGUUGCCUGCUCUCGACGGGUUUACACUCCCUCUGAAGGUACAUAGCUUGUGGGUAUUUCUGGUUCCUUUGUUGUUGCUUAAGGCUCAGGUAGUGGCUAGUAGCCCAGCUGCGCCUCUAUCUGGACCAGGAUAGCCUAACUUUUUCAAAUAAUAUUUUAUUAAGUUUUCCUUUUUUCCCCUUUGUCACAAUCAAAUAAAAUCAUGUCAUCACAUACAUCUUUGCUCAAACUGAGCAUCGACUUCCUCCCUUCCCACUCCCUGGCGUCUAUAGAUAUUCACAUUCAUCUUAGCAUUUCUAUAUUCCCCUAUUUACCUUCUUUCAGUGCUUAAAAAAACAGUAACUCUGAUAUUUGUAAAGUCUUAACCUUACAAAAUAUUUUAAGUCAGUCCUGCAAACAUUUUCAAAUGUUUACAGUGUUCCUUCAUAUAUUGUAAAAAUUUACUCCUGUCCUUUUCAAACAGUUCAUCACACUGGUUUUGGAUUUUCCCUGCCAGCUUUGCCAGUUCUGCAUAUUCAAUCAUCUUAGUCUGCCAUUCUUCCAAUGUUGGAAGUUCCUCCUGCUUCCAUUUCUGGGCUAAAAGUGUCCUCGCCACAGUCGUAGCAUACAUAAAUAUGUUUAUGUCUUUUGCGGGAAUUUCUUCUCCUAUUAUACCCAACAAGAAAACCUCUUUUUUUUUGCUAAAUGUAUUUUUAAAAACCUUUUUCAAUUCAUUAUCUAUCACAUCCCAGUAGGCUUUCGUCUUAGUACACAUCCACCACAUAUGAAAGAGAUUCCCUUCCUUCUCCUUGCAUUUGUAUGUUCAAACCCAGAGACCUCCCCCUUAAAUAAAGACACAUUUGACUCAAAUUUUAGUUUUGGUUUUUGGCAGAAUUUAGGCCACAACUUUAUUGAUUACAGAAAAGUGAGUGGUUUCAUAGGCUCUGGUUCAACUAGCUUCCUACACCCUUGCAGGUAGCGCUGACCCAGAGCUCUAUCAUAGGUAAGCGAAGGGUGACCUGAGGCAGGUAAAAAGCCUGGGAACAGACUCUGUUCACUCUGCAGAUGCUACCCUGGACUCAGGCACUGGAACAACCCCCUUUUGGGGGUUGACCAAAUCAAGUUAAGUCCCUGGAUUCCUUUAACGGAAUUCUCUUCACAUAGGGAUGGCGAGACCAUUCUCCCAUCCCUAUCACAUGAACCAGUGCCUAUCCGCAACCUUACAAGUUGUGACGAAUUGCUACGUGGCAGGCGAAACCCAAAUGGCCACAGCCAAUCAGCCAAGUGGGGAAAAUUGCCCCUGUCCCAAUAACAGACAACACAUGACGGCAUAGCAAGGUCAAUUGCAAAAUGCCCUAAAAUUAGAGAGAGGUGGGCGGGUGUUCCGAUGCACAAGCCGAAAGAGGAAGCUCUGGGACACAUACAUGAGUUUAUAUAGGUCCCUCAAUAGGUCCCUCUAGGACCGUUAUAAACAAUAGUGGUGACAGUGGGCACUCUGUCUAGUUUCUUUCAUUAUCUCAAUCUUUUCAGUCAAAGUAUUAUUGACUAAUAGUCUUGCAUUUUGUUCAGAAUAUAUAGCUUGAAUACCAUUAAGAAACAUUGGACCCAUAUCCAUAAAUUAUAUUUCCCUCCCCCCAUAAAAUACCAAGACACAUUAUCAAAUGCAUUCUUGCCAACUAUAAACAUCAAAGCUGCUUGUUUGUCUUUCCUAGAAUCCAAAUAUUCAAAUAUAUCAAUUAUGUUCCUGACAUUGUCUUUCAUUUGUCUCCUAGGUAAGAAUCCAGUCUGGUCCUUUCCUAUCACCUCUCUCAAUACUUCUUUCAGUCUACUCACUAAAAUAUUAGCAAAUAGUUUAUAAUCAUUGUUCAGAAGUGAAAUUGGCCUAUAGUUUUUGACCUGCAUUAAGUCUGUGUCUUGCUUAGGGAGUAACAUAAUAUAGGCUUCUUUCCAUGUCUCUGGGAGCUUCUUACCCAUCAAGAUACUAUUCAUAACAUCUUUUAAAGGAGAUGCCAGUUGGUCUAUAAACUUAUUGCAAAAUUUUGCUGUCAAUCCGUCCGGUCCUGGGGCCUUUCUAAUUCUGCUUGUUUAAUCGCUGAUUGUACUUCAUCAAUCGUUAUAAAGGAAUUUAGCUGGUUCUUUUUCUCUGUGGAAAUUUUCUGCAGUCUAUUCUUUUCCAGAAAUUCUUCUAUAGUUAUCUUAUCCUCUUUUUCCUUUUUAUAUAAUUUAUUAUAAAACUUUUGGAAAUUCUUCCUCAUUUCUCCCAGAUUGUCUAUUAUUUUCCCUUCAACUGUGAGUUUAGUAAUUGUAUUCUGGUUUUGUCUCUUUUUUAACUGCCAGGCUAACAAUUUGCCUGGCUUAUUUGCAAAACGUAAAGCUCCUUUGAUUCAAUAAUUUAAUUUUCCACUCAAUCUCUUCAUUUAUUAAUAUUGAAAACUGAGUCUGUAGAAUUUUUAAAUUUUGUUUCACUUGGUUAUUAGCUGGAUUUUUAAAAAUCAAUUUCUUUUCAUUUUCAAUUAUUUGUUUCAUUAUCUUUUUCUUUUCUCCCAGUACGUUUCCGAGCACAACUCAAAGUGUUGGUGCUGACCUUUAAAGCCCUAAAUGGCCUCGGUCCAGUAUACCUGAAGGAGCGUCUCCACCUCCAUCGUUCUGCACAGACACUGAGGUCCAGCGCCGAGGGCCUUCUGGCGGUUCCCUCGCUGCAAGAAGCCAAGUUACCAGGAAGAGGGCCUUCUCGGUAGUGGCACCUGCCCUGUGGAACGCCCUCCCACCAGAUGUCAAAGAGAAAAAUAACUACCAAACUUUUAGAAGACAUCUAAAGGCAGCCCUCUUUAGGGAAACUUUUAAUGUUUAAUAGGUUAUUGUAUUUUAGUGUUUUGUUGGAAGCCGCCCAGAGUGGCUUGGGAAACCCAGCCAGAUGGGCGGGGUAUAAAUAAUAAAUUAUUA